rnacentral:lncRNA from 10 species
GCCCCGGUGUCAAUUAGGAAGCGUAUAGGCUGGCCCCCCAGUGUGGCAGUCACCAUGGGCUCCCAGGGGCCAAGGGAGAGGGAGCCCCGGCCCCAUCAAUCAUCAGAUUCCUCCGCAGCAGGGAGGGUGAGGACCUUUUUCUCUUCUGGUUUUUCUUCUGGUUUUAAUGGGCAUUCCAUUUUCCAGUGUCCAAUCUGCUUGCAAUAAGUGCAUUGGUUUCUUUGUAGGGGAGCCUGCUCAGCUUUUGGCCUUUCUGGCAGGGACCCGGGAUCCCUUGGCCAGUGCUCUGUGAUGGGGGCCCUUCUGUCUUGGCUUCUUGGAUGGCAGCCACGAAGAUUUUUGCCUGUCUUUUUGAUGCUUUGUCAGCAGCCCUUUCAGCUGCCUGAGCUGCCUGUUUUUGCUUUUUAACCUCUCAAUUGUCAAAAACUUUCUGGGCUAUCUCUAAAAGUUGGCUGGUGUUCAUUCCAGCAAAUCCCUACAGCUUUUGUAACUUUCUUCUAUCAGGGGCUGCCUGAGCCACAAAUGCCAAAUUAAUAGCACGGCUAUUCUCGGGAGCUGCCAGGUCAAAAGGGGUAUAAGUCCAAUAGGCCUCUUGGAGGCAUUCUAGAAACGCUCCUGGUGACUCAUCGGGCCCCUGGACCACUUCAGUUGUCUUCGACAGAUUCAUGGGUUUUCGAGUGGCUCCCUUGAUACCUGCAAGGAGAUACCAAUGAAAAUUAUCCAAAGCUCUCUUCCCACUUGAGGAGUUUGGAUCCCAAUCAGGCCAGGUAGAGGGAAAAACCUCCUCAAGGAGGUCUUGGGCUUCCUCCUCUGGUCUACUGGCUGAUGUAAGGAAAUACUUUCUGGCCUCUCUUUGGAUACGGUCCCUCUCUUCAGAAGUGAAGGUUUAAAAGGAGUUGCUGACGGUCAUCCCAGAGUGUCCAGAGUCUGCCCUUUUUAAGGUGGACUCCGUAAUCAUCUGAGAAGCCUAGAGAGAAAUUCUGCAACAUAUAUUGGAGAGUGCGCCAAUCUCUACGGGGCCGGGAAGAAGAGUUUCCCAUUCUGGAGGCAAAUUAACAAGGUUUAAGCAGAAAUAUUAAACCCAGCAUGGAUAGAGAUAUUCCUGGCCUGGGGGGCUGCUGAAUCAGAAGAACAGAAGUAUUAUAACCAGAAGAAGUAGGAAAACAGCUAUAGCCAACGCUUCUUGCCACAUAAGGCCUGUCUUCUCAAGCUUUGAGAUCUAGGGAGAGGACAAGAGGCGGCUCCGUGGGAUCCUCAGCCAGUGGGACCUAGGGGACCCCCACCUUCUUCUUCUUGACUUAUGGCCCAAAUAUCUUUGGUGUUUCCACUACUCAAAGGCAAAAAGUUUGAACUCGGCCCUUUCUUUGAAGGGUUUAAGGAGGGAGAACAGAGCCAAGUCUUGGAGGCAUUGGACUUGCUGCGACACAGGGAAACGAGACGUGCGGGGUAAAGGAUGCCGAUGAGGAGGAAAGGGGCCACUCGGAUCUUCCCAAAGGUUGGCGAGUAGCCACGGAGGGGUAAAAUAAGAGUCCAGACGGAGUAAAGCAGUAUGGGCGUAGGUUUCUCUGCACAGUGCCUUAUUUAAGGGCAUGGGAAAAGUUACAGGAUGACAGAAAAGGUGAGCAAGGAGAUCAGCAGGGUGGCUAUAUUGGAUCCACCACUAGUCUAAGGAGGAGGUGGACCAGUCAUUGGGGCGUGGGGUAUGGCAAUCCAAACACCAGCAAUCUUUAUGGUGCCAGAAAUUCCAAACAGGCGAAUGUCUUCCACACCCUUUCCCAUAACAACACCUGAUUUGUUUCUGACAGAAAAGACAGGACUGGGAUGGCCAGCCCAAAUGACUAAUGAGAGAUUUGACCUCCUGGGAUAGAAGAUCUGUACUGAGGACCUUGAAGAAGUCCUUGCCCAGUCGUCUUGGGCAGUAUCGAUGACCUGACCUACGAAAUUUAGACAGACACCAAACAGGACAAUAGACACGGGGGUAUAUAAACAAGUAUGGCAAUUUUUAUAGACAGACAAGGGGAGUGGGUCCCGUGAUGGGAUCAGUCAGAUGCCUGCCUGGCUGCUCCCCUUGCGGGGACUUAGGCUCCUCCUGGCAUUGGCAGGCCGGUAUAAACCCCCGGCUCGGAUCCAGCUAUGCCCGAUGCUGCCCUAAGCUUUAUGAGGUCGCCACGGAACCGCAGGUGAGGGCCCUCUGAAACUCCAUAGCUUUCGCCAUGGAGCUACAAACUAGAAAUUCAAGCACAAGCCCUUGAACUCCACAUGUACUCACUCACUCACAGAGUUUAUUACAAUUUUUUAUACCCGUUUAAAACCGAGGUCUCCUAGAGACCUGAACGAGAGAAGGAGAAGAGAUAGAGAGAGACUAGACUUAACAGAGAAGACUGACAGAAACCAGGACGCUGUCCUCCAGCAUCCUAGAGUGUGGACAGAGUCUGAGGGAGAAACCUAGUCAGAGCCAUUUCCCUCCCAGGGAGACAGAGUCAGAUCUGACUUACCUUCCCGGGACCGGAGACUGAGGACUCAGGAGUUGAAUUUGGUUGGGCACACCAGCAGUUGAUCCGUUCCCCUCUGGAAGACGGUGGCCUACGGGGCCCUGGAGCAUCUUUAGGUGGCGCCUACCCUGUAAGCCCGCCGUUGCUCCGGGGGAGCCCGGAACGAGUCCGGCCCUCACCCGGUGGCGGAUCUCGCUGGGGCCUCCAAAGUGUCAUAACCGAGAGAGUUAUAGAGAAACACCACACUCCGAGACUACUUCAGGAGUCCUUUAUUGCCGGCGACCGAGAGACAGCUAGAACUAAAAAAUUCUCUCGGCCCUGAAGAAGGGGCUAGAUUUCUUUUUAUACCUUGGUCUAAAAAGUGGAGGGGGAGCCUAGCUGAAGCAAUUUUACCGAAGCAGAACAAGCAAAAAGUUAAAAGAUAAGUGAUUACAGAAACAGUUACAGAAAAAAUAAAUAGUUCCAGAUGCAGGGGCUUAAACUAUCACACAGAGAUAAAUGCAGGGGCUUUGGGUACCAUCAACCAAGUGCGUUCCCAGGGGCUGCUGAUAUAGCUUGCCUCAGUAUCUUACCAGUAAUUGGAUUCCUGAAUGUGCUUGGAGUCAGCUUGCACCAGUUAUGUCCUUAAGGGAGGGGGAUAAGGGGCUGCAAGUGAAUAAACCAAAAUGGAGUCUGUCCGGCUCUCUCAGCUAAGUGAGAGUCAAUCAGGUUAAAACAAGGUAGGGUAUCACAAGAUUACUUUGGGCUCAAACAAAUAAUUCAGCAUAAUGUUCUCAUCACAAGGUCAGCGGAUUAGCAAUCUUAAUUCCAUCUGUCUCCUUAAAAUCUCUUUGCCAUAUAACCCAAGAAAUUCAAAAAUUCCAGGGAUUAGAAUGUUCAUACCUUUGGGGAAACAUUCUCCGUAUUAUAUAACCAUUCUGAGGCCCCUACUAAAUCAUAAGCUAAAACUUAUGAUGAUUAUCUGGGUCCAGCAUCCUUGGGGGGCAUUUCGAUCACAACCUUUGUUUUCCCAACUAUGCAGAAAAUGAUUAACAGCAGGCCAAGCUUUUCAAACCCUGUACCUUCUAGAUAAAAGCUGAUUUUCAGAACUGGGCCUUGCCCAAGCCCCUGGGAUACAACCUUUGAGCUGUUGGAAUAUUCUGCCUGAUUAGAUUGUUUUUGUAUUCCUGAUUCCUUGGGCCACACUGGACCGGUGUUACCAGAUAACUUUAUCCUGUGUGAUUCAUGGUGAAUGCCUGUUUUUGCUGUGAGAAGGCUGGAGUCUGAGUAGAUAGUCGAUCAUGCAGGCCCUGCACAUAUAUGUGACUAAUCCGCAAUAAAAACCCUGGACUCAAAGCUCAGAUCUGCUCUCCUGGUUGGCAACACUUUGAACAUAUUGUCACACACAGAUGCUGGGAGAAUGCACCAAGUCCUUGUUUGACUUUACUAGAGGAAACACUUGAAAAAUGCUCCUGGUUUUUCCCAGAUUUCUCCUAUACUCCUUUUUCCCUUUGCUGAUCCCAAAGUGUAUCCUUUUUCUGUAAUAAACCGUAAGCGUGAAUACAACAGCUUUUAUGUCCUGUGAGUCUUUCUAGUGAUUCAUUGAGCCCAAGAGUGGUCUCGGGGAACCCCACCAACACCAGUAUUGUGAGACUGCAGAAAGUUGCGUUGCGCUGUCUGCCUCUUAGCAUCAGCUUUCUGCUUGACUUCUCAUUCUCUUGGCCCCAUUCUACUUAUGAGUCAGCAAACUCCUUAAGGAUAAAGUGCUGCUAUCAGUCUCCACUUCAUCUCUAUUCUUUCUGAAUUUUGACUCCUUAAUCCUAGUUUCCUUUGUACCUUGAACUUCAUUUUUUUUCUUCCAAAUCCUGUAAGACUGUAAAAAUUCUGCUAAGGUAACAUGCUUCCCGGUUGUUUCUUUUUAUUCAGUUUCUCAGUUUGUUUGCACUGAUGAAAAAUUGACCGACGUAGAGCAAAACAAUGCAGAAUAUUGGACUCAUCACAAGCCAUUUCUCUUUUCUAUCAGAUAACAUCCACUCAAGUAUUGUCUUCCUGCUGCUCUCUGAUGACCUGUGGCUGAUUUUGUUAGAUGGGUUUAUCUGAUACAAGCUUGUCCUUCAUAGGUGGGAUCACAUAUCUCUCUAUUCCCAUCUAUUUCUGCUUGUAAUUUGACCAGUUCAUUCCUGAGCUCAUUCAUUUCUUAUAAUUCCUUUCAAAUCUUUCCAGUAUCAGAGCUAAAUACAGUCUACUACCAUUCAACUGUCUACUCUUUUUCCCUAAAAGAACAAGAUCGUUAGCUUCAUAAUCUGUGCUCCUAUUUACCUUUCAUGACAGUUUUCUUCCUGCAUUCUCAAAUUGCAAUUUUCAACCUUACAUCUAAUUCCUUAUUCAAUGCCACAUAAUUUAGGUUUAUCCAGAGUAGUAACGCAUUCCUGAUACCAAUUUCUGGCUUAACAGAAUGAAAGUUGAUCACUCACUUGUGCUACAUGUUGCUUUUGAUUGAGAUAUAGCUUUGUUAGGCAUAAUUACUCAGAAAACAAGGGUGAUGACAGCUGUUCAGUCUUAUAGUUCCACUAUACAAAAUGUCUUCUUUUUUUACUUUUGCUGACAAUUUUGGUCAUAGUAUAUUGGUUAUAACUAGUCACAUGGCAAAGCCUAACUG